AUUGAACGCUGGCGGCAUGCUUUACACAUGCAAGUCGAGCGGUAACAGGCCGCAAGGUGCUGACGAGUGGCGAACGGGUGAGUAAUGCAUCGGAACGUGCCCAGUCGUGGGGGAUAACUACUCGAAAGAGUAGCUAAUACCGCAUACGAUCUAUGGAUGAAAGCGGGGGACCGUAAGGCCUCGCGCGAUUGGAGCGGCCGAUGUCAGAUUAGGUAGUUGGUGGGGUAAAGGCUCACCAAGCCAACGAUCUGUAGCUGGUCUGAGAGGACGACCAGCCACACUGGGACUGAGACACGGCCCAGACUCCUACGGGAGGCAGCAGUGGGGAAUUUUGGACAAUGGGCGCAAGCCUGAUCCAGCAAUGCCGCGUGCAGGAAGAAGGCCUUCGGGUUGUAAACUGCUUUUGUACGGAACGAAACGGCUCUGGUUAAUACCCGGGGCUAAUGACGGUACCGUAAGAAUAAGCACCGGCUAACUACGUG
rnacentral:rRNA from 1 species